rnacentral:miRNA from 1 species
CAUUUUCGCAGUCUACUUGUAGGUUUGGAUCGGUACAUUAGAUUUUAUAAUAUUUCUAUUGCACUUGUCCCGGCCUUCAAUUACUGCAGAUC